GUUAGUAUAAAACAAUUAAAUUUGAAGGCUCAAGAGAAUACUUUCAUGAACAGCAUCGUUUGUCAAACUGAAAUCCAUGGCUGACUGAUAAGAAAAGUUAAGAACAGGCACUUGAAAACAUGUACACUUAGCUUUCAAUAGAGCUGAAAGCGAUACAUCAUUACGGAUAGAAACAUGAACAAGUGUAUCAUCUAUCGGAGAAAAAGGUAUAGCAUGGGAAGUCUGGCUGUUUUUGUUUUCAUAUUCAAUUUUACUCUGUUGUGUUCUUUGUUGUUUCUCAGCUGCUUUCUUAGCAUAUCUUUCUCGUCGACGCUGAUUAGCUUGUAUAGGACGCUCAUCUUCAGAAAUAACUUUGCGCUUUCGGCCCAUAUCACAAAAUGAUUCUUGAUAGCAAAAGUCACAGAAGCGACAGUGAAUGUCAUGGCAGAAGUUUUAUAGUAUAGAUUAUAUAAAAAGCGUAACAAACAAAAGCGAUAGAAAGUGGAAAAAGAUUAAAAUGCGAUCACAAUGGAUAAUGAGAAUAACAAAUAUGUUUAAAUAAAAUAAAAACAAGAGCAGAGAAUGAAAGCAAAUGAUAUAGGUAUGAGAUUAAUAUGCAAGAUUUAAAUUAAAAAGAAAUACAGUUACCUUGAAAGUGGCACAGGAAAACCUUC
rnacentral:lncRNA from 1 species